GGGUUGUCAUGCCAAUGGCACUGCCCGGUAGCUAAAUGCGGAAGAGAUAAGUGCUGAAAGCAUCUAAGCACGAAACUUGCCCCGAGAUGAGUUCUCCCUGACCCUUUAAGGGUCCUGAAGGAACGUUGAAGACGACGACGUUGAUAGGCCGGGUGUGUAAGCGCAGCGAUGCGUUGAGCUAACCGGUACUAAUGAACCGUGAGGCUUAACCUUACAACGCCGAAGGUGUUU
rnacentral:rRNA from 1 species